rnacentral:rRNA from 1 species
ACAGAGGUCCCAAGCGUUGUUCGGAUUUACUGGGCGUAAAGGGAGCGUAGGUGGCAUUCUAAGUCUGAUGUGAAAGCUCUGAGCUUAACUCAGAAAUGGCAUUAGAUACUAGUUUGCUUGAGGAUUGGAGGGGAGAUUGGAAUACUUGGUGUAGCAGUGAAAUGCGUAGAUAUCAAGUGGAACACCAGUGGCGAAGGCGAAUCUCUGGACAAUUCCUGACACUGAUGCUCGAAAGCGUGGGGAGCAAACGGGA